UACGAAGGGGGCUAGCGUUGCUCGGAAUCACUGGGCGUAAAGCGCACGUAGGCGGAUUGCUAAGUCAGGGGUGAAAUCCUGGAGCUCAACUCCAGAACUGCCUUCGAUACUGGCGAUCUUGAGUCCGGAAGAGGUGAGUGGAACUCCUAGUGUAGAGGUGGAAUUCGUAGAUAUUAGGAAGAACACCAGUGGCGAAGGCGGCUCACUGGUCCGGUACUGACGCUGGAGGUGCGAAAGCGUGGGGAGCAAACAGG
rnacentral:rRNA from 1 species